ACUGCUCAGUAACACGUGGAUAACCUGCCCUGCGGUGGGAAAUAACCCCGGGAAACUGGGGAUAAUGUCCCAUAGGCUACGGAUGCUGGAAUGCUCUGUAGCUCAAAGAUUUAUCGCCACAGGAUGGAUCUGCGGCCGAUUAGGUAGUUGUUGGGGUAACGGCCCAACAAGCCUUUGAUCGGUACGGGUUGUGGGAGCAAGAGCCCGGAGAUGGAUUCUGAGACACGAAUCCAGGCCCUACGGGGCGCAGCAGGCGCGAAAACUUUACAAUGCGGGAAACCGUGAUAAGGGAACUCCGAGUGUCCGUAAAUGCGGACUGUCCGUAUGUUUAAAAAGCAUGCGAAGAAAGGGCCGGGCAAGACCGGUGCCAGCCGCCGCGGUAAUACCGGCGGCUCGAGUGGUGGCCACUAUUAUUGGGCUUAAAGCGUUCGUAGCUGGGUUAUUAAGUCUCUUGGGAAAUCUACCGGCUUAACCGAUAGGCGUCCAAGGGAUACUGGUAAUCUAGGGACCGGGAGAGGUGAGGGGUACUUCAAGGGUAGGAGUGAAAUCCUGUAAUCCUUGGGGGACCACCUGUGGCGAAGGCGCCUCACCAGAACGGCUCCGACAGUGAGGGACGAAAGCUGGGGGAGCAAACCGGAUUAGAUACCCGGGUAGUCCCAGCCGUAAACGAUGCGCGUUAGGUGUAUCGAUGACCACGAGUCAUCGAGGUGCCGAAGGGAAACCGUGAAACGCGCCGCCUGGGAAGUACGGUCGCAAGGCUGAAACUUAAAGGAAUUGGCGGGGGAGCAC
rnacentral:rRNA from 1 species